rnacentral:lncRNA from 1 species
AUGGAUGUUCAUAUGAUUUAGUAUGUAAACAACAUGGUUAAGUUGGAUCUCAUGAUUCAAGGGAUUAUGUGAUGUAUACUACAGAUUUGGAUCUUAGUUCCUCAUCCAGAUCGAGGAUGAGAUGCAUAUCAUUUGGGGCCAUUUUGAUCUGGAUUGUAUGAUCUGGAAUGUGGAUCAUAAGAUAUUAGCAAUGAUGUCCUAGAGAAUAAAGAGAUGUGAGGAUGGAGUAUAAAUUCUUCUCAAAAAGUAGGAUGAAAUAUAACUAGCCUAGUAUUUAUUUUUAUUGUUAUGUCUAUAUUUUUUUUAAAGUGAGAGUGAAGAGCUUGGGAAAAUAUGAGGUUUCAAUUGGUAAAGUAGUUUUAGGACUUGAGGGGGUGUUCAUUAAGGGUGUGCAUGGGUUGUGUCGGGUCAGUUUGGUGCUAAACCCAAAAUUAAACCAAUUUAAACUGGUUUUCUAAAAUUGAAACUCAACCAACCAUCUAUAAAAAAUUAGUUGAAACCAACCUAAAAAUUUGGUUCGCUUUGGUUUAUCAGGUUGAUGUUUUAUUUUAUAUAUAAAAGAAAAAAAUAAAUUAUUGAAAUUUAUAUAUACAAACAUAUAUGUAUUAGGUCGAGAUGGGUCGGUUUGAAUAUGUGUGUGCGUGUGUGCGCGUGCGCAUGCAUGUGUGUACAUAUGGGUGGGUUUGGGUCAGUUUGAAUCGAUUUUCUGAAAACUCAAACUGAAACUGAGCUGAAUUUUUUCGAUUUAGGACUUUCCCAAAUCAAAACCAAAUUGAAUUUAAAAAAAGGGGAUAUCAACCAAGGUUUUUUUUUUUUUAAAGUCCUGUGGAAUGGAGGUAUCCCGAUUUACCUGUGGAACGAGAUACUCCGUUGUCUCAUCCCAUCUCGACAACAGUCUCAAUCAUACAUAUUGGGAAAUAUCCUGUCUUUCUCUCCUUUUCUUUCUUUCCUUCAUUUGUUUCCUAUUAUUAUACAUUUCUUUCUUUUCUUUCCUUUUUUUUUCUUUUCUUACCCCUUCUUUCUUUUUACCUUUUCUUCUUCUUUCUCUUUUCUUCCUUCUUUCCUUUCUUUUUCUCCUCCCUUCCCUUCUUUCUUUUAUUUUUCUUCUUUCCUUCCACUUUAUCCCUUUCUUCAUCUCUCCUUCCUUUCUUUCUUUCCUUUUUCUUCUUCUCUCAAUGCAUGGAUGGGUUUCAAAGCCUCAACCUCAUCCUGCUCCCAUUUUCUUGGAUGAUCGGGACACCUUUUGUCCCGCCGGGAUAUAAAACCUUGAUAUAAACCAAAUCAAAAAGACCGGUUCAUUUGGGUUCAUGGUUUGGCCGGUUUAUUGCACACCCCUAGCGUUCAUUGGAUUUUAGAAGAAGAAAAUGAUUUUAUAUCUAAUUGAUUAAUACUGGUUUCUAUCCUGGGAAAGUUAGUGGAGACAUUUAAGUGAAAGAUUCUAGGCCAUCAUUAUAAUAUGCAUAAUUCAAAACAUAGCUAACUGCCUUCUAUUUCACUGCUAUGAUGUGCUUUCUAGUGUUUUGACUUCAAAGGCAUGACUGCCUUUUCAUGUGCCUAAAAGAUUAUGCAACUUGUCUUACGUAUCUUGUUAGAUUUCCACCCUCCAGUAUAGCCUCAACCUUUCACAUGGCUUCUUUAUUUCUGUUCCUUGAUAUUUCCUGGGAAUAGGACCAUUUUCUUAUUGUUUUACUUUUGUUAGUUUGCCUUUCCAUGGUUUUCCAUCCUUUAUUUUGAGUCAGUUAUUUUUGUCUACCUUCCAUAUAUAAUCUGUUUUCAUUCAGUGAAUUGUGAAUCCUUCAUUAGAAAUUAAGCAUUGAAAAUGACGUGCAAGACCUGCAACAGAUUACUCAUUGAAGUAUAUUUGGUACAAAUAUGGUGAUAGAGCAUCUUUCUAGGUGCUUAGUUGUGAGCAUGAUGGGUGGGACAUGUGUUCGUAAGUGAAUUUUUAAAAAACAUAUGAAGUAAGAAAGCACUUAGGAUGGAGUGCAGGUUUGAGAUUAUGGAGAGUUUCUGAAUGGGUUAGUUACAUAACAGUUUCCUGGUACUAUGUUCUAGGUGCUUGAAAUCUUUAAAUGACAACAUACAUUCAUGAAAGCCAUAGGCUUAAAUGACAAGCUUCUUCAGAUUUAUGAGGAGUAUAGUACAUAAGACAUGCUCUGGAAAGUAAUAAGAUUUACCAAAGAAAAUUUGCUCAUGAAAUUAUAAUUCAUAUAUUAAGAAUUAUUUCUGAUAGAAUCUGUGGCAGUAUUUGGUUAUAACCAGAGAAAUGUGUAUUUUCUCAAAUUGAUUUUAUUUGAGUUGGAAAUUACGUUGGUUUAUUUACUGUGCAGACUCGUUCCUGUGACUCAUAUCUUAACCAGACAGCUGUCAGAAGUCAUAUCUUAACACUUUUGUUCAUACUAUGAAUUUUUUCUGUAAGAUGCUCACAUUCCAUGAGAUGCAUAAUGGAGUCACUGGAUCCAUAUUAUGAAACCAUGGUUUUUAUAUAUAGCAUUUUUCUUCCUUUAGUUACACCAUCUGAAGAACAUUGAUAAUGUCACACCCCUCCCUUUAGACCGAGCAACGGUAUGACAACUGAGCAAAGUUUUACCAGCAUCUUGUGCCUGGGAUCAUAAGCUAUUAGUAAACCCUAGUCGUCUGGCAUAGCUUGCUGUAAUUUAGAUCAUUAUAUUUCAAUCCAUAAAAAAACUUGCAGUUUUAUUUAUCUCACAGAUAUGCAUAACACUUUAUUCAAUAUCAUGCAAAACAUCUUAUAUUCAACUUCUAAGUAUUAUACAUUAAGUCUUACAAUGUUCAUGCAACACUCUAUGCAUAUUGACAAUUCCAAAAGUACUUCUCCGAGCUAAAGUGGCCCAACCUCAACUAGUGCUGAAUGCUGAUAAUGUAGUAUGAUCUUCUAGCACGCUCUAGUACACCUCAAAUUUGCAAAAAUAAGUGAAGUGAUGAGACUUAUGUUCCAGUGAAUGGUCAUUCUAUCUAACAAUCGGAGAAACAAAAUGGUUUAACUUUAAGGCUCAAAACAUACGUGGAAAACAUACUUCUUUCACAAUUCUUUUUAAACCUUUCAAACAUUUAUAUUAUAAACAAGAAUGAAAUGAUGUAGUAAAGCAAUCUCUACGUUUAUCCUGUCAAAAAGUACCACUUACCUUUUUAACUUUUCAUAAGUAAAAUUCUGCAUUCACAUCACUCAAACAUAUUAUUUCUUUUAAUAUAACAUAAACCAUAUUAAACUAUUUUGCUCCAAACCUGCAAAUCUCAUUCUUUAUCUUUCUGGAAAACAAACACCACAUACACCUGUUGAGCUUGCUUAUACCAAGCACUAGCUAAAAUUAUUUCUUACCGAGCUAGUCAAGGAAGCAAAAAGGGUUUCUGGCUCUUCUUUGCUGGUCAUACAUGCAUGUAGACUUGGCUUCUCUAAUUAUCUGAUCUAUUGGGCGCUAUUUUAGCUAUGGGCAGUUCACACCAUAAGGCACCACUCCCAUGGGCAGUCUUGACGCAUAGGUGCGUUGCUCCACCUGGCUUCUGAUUCUUGUAGUACGACCACGGGCAGCUCACACUAUAGGUUGAUCAUCCCUAUAGGCAGCCUGGACGUGUGAUUGCCCAAUAGAUUUUCGGGUGGUGGUGAACUAGCUCAAAACACUUUUCCAAAUCAAAUAUACAUACAAAUAUGCAUAUGUAUUUAUAACAUAACCUCAAACAUUCAUCACAUCCUAGUUCCACUCUUUGGAUAGAAAAUACGUUAUAAAACCAAAUCUGAUUUCUUAUUUUAAAACAAAGCAUUUUCACAAUUCUCACAGAAAUAGAAAACACCGAAGCUAGAAAGAAGACCGCUUAUCGGGUAGGCCAGCUACCACACCUCCUAGGUGCUUGAUUCUUUGAAAGCUUCUCUAGGGUUAUUUUCUUCUCCUGUACAUUUGUAAGUGCACCUUGGUUAAUGCAAUGCACUACAUGAUGUGUGAAUGCAAGAAUGCAUGAUAUGCUUCAUGCUUGUCCAUUUUCAUUUAGUUUAAUCUUUCACCAACUUAGCCAAUUUGCCAUUGCUAAGCUUUCCACUAUUUUCACAAUUGUCUUUUAGAUUCUUCCUCAUGGCACUAACACAUUUAACAUCACCUUUUAUGUCUCAUCUCUCUUUCUUAUAGCUAUUUAUCCUUCUUACUAUUUAGCUUAGUAUGACCAUAAUUCAACCCUUAAACAGUUCACUUAACACACAGCACACACUUCAUUCUAAUCUCUACACCACACGCCAAUUGUACACACCAUAAACAUCUUCAUUCACAUUCUGCCCUGUUUUAGAGAUGCUGAUAAAUUAACGAAAAUCUAAUGUAUUUCAGAAGCUAAGUUCAUAUUCCAACUCCAUCAGACCCAAAUCAAACUAGUUCAAUUUGGCCUAAACAAACCUAACUUCCAUGAAUUUCUUCAUAUGGCAGCAACAUAACAUCAAGGUCUUUAACCCUAAAUCACAUAACUUGAUCAAAAGAAUGAUAAUUCACGUAUUUAACACCCAAACUGCAAAUUAAAACAAGUUACAAGUUAGAACUCUUACCCUCUUUGCUGAAAAUGCAAGAACAAUCACAAAACAGUAUGCUGCCUUCUUCAGAAGCAGCAAUACUCUCCUCCAAUCCUCCAAACUUCACUUCAUUGGUAUUAAACCAAGUCCUCUAAGCCUUGUUCUCUUAGUUUAGGACCUGAAAUUCUCUUUCUUUUUUUCUGAUCUCUCUCUCUCUCUCUCUCUCUUAGUCUUAGUCUCUCUCUCUUUCUUUCUUUUGUUCUAAUGUAGAAGUGAAACAAAUGGAAGGAAUGAAUGGAGGUGGUGGGCUGUUUUGGGUGAUAAGGGGCAGCAAGCUGCUGCAUGGCACAAGGAGCAGAAGACACCAAGAAUAGAAAGAAAGAUGUGAGGGGAGGUGUUGACAUGUGGCAACUUUGGUACUUUGACCAUUUUGCCCUUCCUACUAACACAAUUUUGCAAAAUUGCCACCCAUGCACACAUGCACUUUCACAUGAAUUCCCUGCACUCCCCUUCUUGUUUAUGGCAUGACAUCCCAACACUAGGCCACAUGAAUUCUCACCAACAUUUUGCUAUGCAUACCUUAUAAUAUCUCUCUUUUAAUCUAUUUUGUACUAUGCUCAUAUACUAAUCACUAAUUUUCCUUCAUUCCCACUAAUGCCACU